rnacentral:rRNA from 1 species
GCGGGAAACAGUUCAAUCGCAAUGGCUUGAACCGGGUAAAAGUCGUAACAGGGUAUCUGUAGGUGAACCUGCAGAUGGAUCAUCG